GACAAUCUCUUCAACCUUCUUCACUCCGCAACCUUCACUCAGCAACCUUUACCGGAUAAGCAAGACCCAAUUGUGGAUAGUGAGUUUUUUCUCGAAGAUCCGGUCACAAUGCUCUCCGCCGACGAGCUCUUCUCCGACGGAAAGCUCGUACUUUUGAAGUUCUCUGGUGGCUCCAAGACGAGGACGACUACCAUCGAACGGAGAGCAUCACCGGAGGUUCUGAAAUCUUGACGGAGACUUGAGAUGGAAAUAUUUUCAUUACAAUAUAGUUUCUAUGUUUUGGAACCUUAGAUAUAAGACUUAUAUAGUCUGGUCCUUAUAAUGCAUAAACUCGGAUUCAGAUUUGGCUUUUUAAGCAGAAAGAUUUGAGGAUUGAGGGACGUACUACUACUGGUUUUAAUGAGUACAUGAAUUUGGUGCUGGAUGAAGCUGAGGAAGUAAGCAUCAAGAAGAAGACCAGAAAACCACUUGAGAGAAGAUUGUAAAGAUGCUUAAAUCUGAUCUCCUCAAAUCCUGAAGAUGACGACGAUUAAACCCAAGAGUAUUGAUCUGGUUCUUUCAAAACUUGAACAUUUUUUUUGACUUUUAGGUUGUUUGUAUCAUAUUGAUGUAGAUGGUUACCAACAUUUGGUUUGUAUUACAUUUAUGUUUAUAUAUAUGUUUAUGUUAUUUUCA